ACUUUUUAACAUCAAACCCAUUAGCUUGAAGACCAUCAAAAUCAACCAUCUUCUCUGAAAGAAAAGUAAGUUCAGAUUCUGGGAAUUCCAUCUCGUUCCCAACAAUCUGAAGGUUCUUGAAUAUGAACGGUGGAAUCCUUUUUGAUGAAGAAGAUGAAGUACCAGCCAUUUUGUUGGAGAUUAGGGUAAGGUUUGGAAAGACUAACGAGAGAGAAAGAAAGUUUG
rnacentral:lncRNA from 1 species